GACGAACGCUGGCGGCGUGCCUAAUACAUGCAAGUAGAACGCACAGUUUAUACCGUAGCUUGCUACACCAUAGACUGUGAGUUGCGAACGGGUGAGUAACGCGUAGGUAACCUGCCUGGUAGCGGGGGAUAACUAUUGGAAACGAUAGCUAAUACCGCAUAAUAUUAAUUAUUGCAUGAUAAUUAAUUGAAAGGUGCAAUUGCACCACUACCAGAUGGACCUGCGUUGUAUUAGCUAGUAGGUGAGGUAACGGCUCACCUAGGCGAUGAUACAUAGCCGACCUGAGAGGGUGAUCGGCCACACUGGGACUGAGACACGGCCCAGACUCCUACGGGAGGCAGCAGUAGGGAAUCUUCGGCAAUGGACGAAAGUCUGACCGAGCAACGCCGCGUGAGUGAAGAAGGUUUUCGGAUCGUAAAGCUCUGUUGUAAGAGAAGAACGGGUGUGAGAGUGGAAAGUUCACACUGUGACGGUAUCUUACCAGAAAGGGACGGCUAACUACGUG
rnacentral:rRNA from 1 species